GAUGAAGAACGUAGUGAAAUGCGAUAAGUAAUAUGAAUUGCAGAUAUUCGUGAAUCAUCGAAUCUUUGAACGCACAUUGCGCCCUUUGGUAUUCCAAAGGGCAUGUCUGUUUGAGCGUCAUUUCUCCCUCAAACCCUCGGGUUUGGUGUUGAGCGAUACGCUGGGUUUGCUUGAAAGAAAGGCGGAGUAUAAACUAAUGGAUAGGUUUUUUCCACUCAUUGGUACAAACUCCAAAACUUCUUCCAAAUUCGACCUCAAAUCAGGUAGGACUACCCGCUGAACUUAAGCAUAUCAAUAAGCGGAGGA
rnacentral:misc_RNA from 1 species